GGGUCAGUAGGUUGGUCGUGCCACCGGUACGUACUGGUCUCACUGAUUCCUCCUUCCUGAAGAACCGUAAUGCCAUUAAUUUGGUGUUGCGUGGAAGCAGGACUGUUACUUUGAAAAAAUUAGAGUGUUUAAAGCAAGCUAACGCUUGAAUACAUUAGCAUGGAAUAAUGAAAUAGGACGAUCGAUCCUAUUUUGUUGGUUUCUAGGAUUGACGUA
rnacentral:rRNA from 1 species